AGAGCCCCACUGUUGGACAUAAGCUUCACGAAGAUUGAUCUAAUGCUCAGUCCUGUGCAUUCUGUAGAUUCUUGCGAUCCUUUCCAGUCAAUCCACAUUCGUAGAUAAAAUUAAAUGUUCAAUGAGCAACCGUUGUACUUUAAAAACUGAGAUCUUAGAACUCAUAUUUCAAAGUAGGUGGCAGCAUAUACGUUGUAAAUGUCUAUGGGCUCCGGGAACUACUUAAAAUCGGGUAGGCGGUGAG
rnacentral:lncRNA from 1 species